rnacentral:sRNA from 2 species
AUUCUGCCCAAGCGGGGAAGGAUGAGAAGCUUCGACCAAGGUUCGACUUGAGCGCCAGCGAGAGAGCGUCAGCGAGAGAGCGUUGCCGCAGGCAACGACCCGAAGGGCGAAGCGCGCAGCGCUGAGUAAUCCUUCCCCCACCACCA